rnacentral:rRNA from 1 species
CUACGGGCUGCUGCAGUGGGGAAUAUUGCACAAUGGGCGCAAGCCUGAUGCAGCCAUGCCGCGUGUAUGAAGAAGGCCUUCGGGUUGUAAAGUACUUUCAGCGGGGAGGAAGGGAGUAAAGUUAAUACCUUUGCUCAUUGACGUUACCCGCAGAAGAAGCACCGGCUAACUCCGUGCCAGCAGCCGCGGUAAUACGGAGGGUGCAAGCGUUAAUCGGAAUUACCGGGCGUAAAGCGCACGCAGGCGGUUUGUUAAGUCAGAUGUGAAAUCCCCGGGCUCAACCUGGGAACUGCAUCUGAUACUGGCAAGCUUGAGUCUCGUAGAGGGGGGUAGAAUUCCAGGUGUAGCGGCGAAAUGCGUAGAGAUCUGGAGGAAUACCGGUGGCGAAGGCGGCCCCCUGGACGAAGACUGACGCUCAGGUGCGAAAGCGUGGGGAGCAAACAGGAUUAGAUACCCCUGUAGUC